rnacentral:lncRNA from 1 species
CCGGCAGCGGCAGCUGCGCCGCCAAAGCCCCGGGCCCCAGCGGCCCCCCACCCCUCACUCGCGCGCUCCCACACUGCCUCCCCCUCCCCGGGGGAAGGCCUUUUAAUUUAUUUAUUCUUCUGGGACUGGGGUGGGGGUCUUGGCUGGCGGGGGAGGGGGGUCUCCCCGGGCUCUACCUCCCGCGGCCGGGACUACCCUCAGAGCCGCGACCGCCGCGGCGUGCGUCCCGGGCCUGCAAAACUGUUUCCAAACUGCCCGGGCCGGAGGCGGGCGCGCGGGGACCCGGGGAGAUGGUUGGGGUCUGGGGGGCCGAGGGUGUGUGUGGACGCUGGGAGCCGCGGGGGAAAGCCGGCGUCGACUCAGAGGAGUUGCAAUCGAGGUCCGGGAGUGGCGGCGGCCAAUCAGCGCGCGGCUUCCAUUUUAGCAGUAAACAGUCCUCAGCGAAGCCGCCUUUUUGCCUACCCAACCCUGGAAAGUUUGCAGAAGUGGAAGGAGCAGAACGUGAGGGUGUAACUUACAAAAAGGUUCUGGGCCGGAGAAGGGGCGACGUUCGGGCACCCCCCGAAUGGACAAUCUUUCCUUCUGUCGACGGCAGGGGCAGGCCUAGUUUGACUCUGACAGUCCUCCCACUA